UGAAAGGCUGAAGUGAGGUGAACCUUCUCUUCUCCAGGCUGUGCAAGCCCAGCUCCCUUAGCAUUUCUUCCCAGGAGAAAGGUGCUUCAGCCCUCUUAUCUUCGUGGCCUUCUCUGGACCUGCUCUAACAGUGCCACAUCUUGUGCUGGUCACUAUAUGCCAGGUGGGGCCUCAAGGGCAGAACAGAGGGGAACAAUCACCUCUCUCACCUUGCUGGCCACCCCUCUUUGGAUGUGGCCCAGAUCACAGCUGUACAGUUGGCCUUCUGCUGCUGGCCCAUGUCCAGCUUUUCACCCAUCAGGACCCCCACGUUCUUCUCCACAGGGCUGCUGUCAAUGAGUUCUUCUCUCAGUCCAUGCUCAUGUCUGGGAUUGCUCUGACCAAGGUGCAGCUCCUUGUGCUCGGCCUUGGUGAACCUCAUUUGGUUCAUGUGAGCCCACUUCUUGGGCCUGUCCUUCUUGAGUCCUUUCCUUCUACAGUGUGGGUGGCACAUGGGCCAUUCAAAUGAAUUCUGCAAUCCUGUAUCUUCUUAAUUUUAAAUAUUUCACAGAAGGAGCAUAUUACAGUUCUUAAAAAAAUAAAUAAAAUUAUGAGUUAAGUUGCUUUCCUACCACCAGACACUGCAUUCCUUAGAGGGUGAUAUUUUGUGGGCCAGCUGUGGGAAGGGGCACCUAGAUCCUAACACGGUGAUGGGGGAAGUCUCACGUGAAGUGGCUUUUACUUAUAGGGCAGCGAAAAACAGAAGAGCUUGGUCUUGCAUAAGUUGCCAAUCCAGACUGAGUACACACACGCUUAUCUGAAGCUCUGAAUAGGGAAUACAUCGUGAUUUAUCUGAGCAGUUAUGGGAGUGCUUAACUUUAAAUGCAUACUGUGACUGCUCAUAGAAGUCAGUGGGACAGAACAUAAAGCUUUAAAGUUGAGCACGUGCUUAAUUGCUGCCUUAAGUAGAGAUGGACUUCAGCAUGUGCCUGUGUUUUUCUAUGCUGGAUCUGUGUACUGUAGGGCUAGGACUUUUUUUAAUUAAUAAUGUAGCUUAUAUAAAAGAAGCUUAUGGAAUUGGCUGAUAAUUGAAUGCUUAACCAAUUUUUAUUCCAUGCUUUUUUUUUUUUAAAGCAAAAAUUUCACACUUCAAAAUUCCUUUUGAUUGAUGCCAACUGGCAGAGAGAAAUGGGCCCCAGUAAUCUGGCUCUUCCCUAUGCCCAGAGCUGUUUCCUCUAUUGAAUACACUCCCCGGGAGAAUGUUACAGUAGCAGUGACUGUGCUUUUCUGUGUAUUUCUUGCUGUUGGCAGCCUUGCCUCUAGUAUUCUCUUGAUGUAUCUUGGUGUGUAUAUGUGAUACAUUUUUCCUGAAUUUGAAUACAUAUAUGUAUUCAGUUAUGGGUGUAAAUAUAUAUAUAUAUUUUUCUGCGGUUUUUGUGCUCUUGCCUUCAGUGACAUGUUACUGGAGUGUUGGAAAGGGAAGUGGGAAAGGUACUGAAAUGAGGCUUUCUUGAAGGCAAGAAAAUAAAAGCAGUUUGUUUCUAUGUAUCUGCAGUAGGCAGGUGUAAAGUAACUGGAAAGCCAGAGGAACCAGAGGAAUAAUCAAGGGAUCCAGCAUCCCAGAAGCAAAGAAGUCAGUAGGACUUCAGUGCACUGGGAGAAAUGUUAUAGUCUUGAUCAAGCAGUAAUGUCUUAGGGCUGGAUUCCUGAGGCUACAAGGUCAUCUGAAGGAAGGGAUUUAAAGAAUGUCCCUUUACCAGCUGGGAGUGGUGUAAAAUGUUCUGUGCUAAAUUGCAGCAGCUUCUGUUUGUGGAGAAACAGGUGGAUCACCGUGGAUACCCCCACAAUACACCCUGUUCCCACCACUGCUGCUUCUGGAUGUACCACGCAGCAGGUAGGAGAGAAACGGUUGAACCAGCUUGGUGCUACCUACAGAUACCUGCCAAGAGGACUCUUCACCUGCGAUUCAGUGAUGAUGUCUCCAUUUGCGUGGUGCUGUUAGUGAAUUGUGCCAAGGACUUUGCUCUUCUUGUAGGCCACAGAGAACUGUUUCAAGUCGUCGGGUGGCUGUUGCUAACCUCCUGGGCCCUGCAGGGCUGGGUGAGCCAGCAGCCCUGCUACUGGGGCUUACUGCUUGGUAAGUUACACUUCUGUCCUGCUCUCCUGCUCUGGAUUUAUGUGUAAGUGAAGCUGUUGCAGGUCAGACUGGUGACUGAAUGUUUUUCCCCUGAAUAUUUUGAAGUAAACUGGACUCAACUUUAAAAUUUGAAUCAUCUGAAACCCAUUCUUGUUAGGGUAGAACAUCAGCAAAUGUUGAGGACUAGGACUAGUUUGCAGAAAACUAUGCUGAGCACUUGGGAAGCAAUGUGCAUAGCUUACUUCACUGAACCUGCAGAGCAGAAGGACACGAGCGGAAGAAAUGAAUGUCCAAGAUUCUGUGCAGGUAAAUACGUGUAAAAAGUUAAUGGUUACUGAUAGUGAUUAACCACUGAGUUCUGGCUGAAAUCCUGGAAAUGGCACAUUAGCCAAGAGUGUACAGCAGCGAGUUUUCUAAAGAUUUGCAGGACUUCUUGUUUAGCUCUGCACCUAGCUGCUUUAGAAUUUGAAAGAUGUUCAUUCCUUGCUCUGCAGUGUUUGCAUUUGAAGAGUUUUCUUACCACCGUGUUGGUGGUGUUUGUAGCUUUGUUGUACCACAUAAAGAAGUUACAAUUCUGCACCUGCGGGGCUGCUGGCAUGGUACUGCUUUCAGUUAGUCCUCACAUACAUACCCAGAUACUUUCUGUGUUUUACAAGUGAUGUGAGCUGGAGGUGGGAGAUCCAUUUCUUUGGCAGAUAUGCUUUCCUAUACAGUAUCCACCUCUUAAAAUAAUUAGUUGGCAAUUGCAUUUUUAAGCUGAGUCUGAUAAUAGCUCCCCAGUAACUACAGGCACUGGACCAAACCUUGGAGAACCCUUCUAUCCUACAAAAUCAGUCAUCAUAUUUUAUGACAUAAAGGUAACUUGGUAGUAAGGGAGAUCAUCUUUGGUGGGGCACUGGAACAGCAGGAAGAGUAAUCAGAUACCUCCAGAGAGUGCAUAUUUCGAUUGAGGGUCAGACAGGCAUUUUGGCAGAAGAGUGAGGAGAUGUGGGAGACAGGAAAGCAUUGGUUUCACUGUCCAUUCUCUGAUGAAUUUCUUAUUUCUUCACCAUGGGCUUCCUUUGUGCUCACAGGCCAUCUUGGGAAGUACAGUCUGCCUCUGCCGUUGUUACACGUGGUGGAACAAUGUCUUGGCUUUCCUAGGUAGAUAACUUGGAACAGAAAUAUGGUAUAAUCUCAUUCUAGCAAUACUCAAGUGCAGUAAACAUGCUUGUGUUAAAAUCAUGCUUCUCAUUUAACUCUCAGGGAUGCAAAAGCAAUCCAAGGUACUAUCUCUUGAUCUGCUCCUUAGCUCUUCAUACUGUAGAUUCUGAAAAGCUAAGCUAUAUCCUGAUCAAACUAAUUGCAAACCACUGCAGGUAUUUUUGUGUGGUGGAAAAAAGAAAAUGAGUUGCUCCUGGCUAGAAGCAGUCCUUCUCCAGGCUAAUCACACACACAAGCUACUGUGGAAAAAUACCUCUUUCAAAAGUUGCACUUAAAGAGUUCCUGAAAUACAGGCUUUCAAGAUUUGCUGAUACUGGCUGCUUCACUCCAAAUACCAGCCUUCAGCUUCUGCUUUCAGAGCGUGGUGCUGAUUCAAAACUACACUGUCAUCAGCAGAGCAUUUUUCAUCUUUGUUAGUAACUUGUUAUAAAGACUCAAGCUGUUUGCCAUGAUUUGAAGUGCGACAGUGACAAACUGUAACCAUCCAAUCUUAUUUCUCAAGGAGUCUUCAAUAUGUAGAUUUGUAGCAAGUCUCAAAAAAAUCCAUACACUUCUGCUGCCAAAACUUUCCUUUUAUGGUCUUGGGAGAAAUUCAGAUGUUUCUCAGCCAGCUCUGUAGGCAGUUAAAUGCAGUGUUAUUGAUUAACGGGUGUAUCAGCAAACAUUUUGCUGUCUGACUGCAGCAAGGCUCUGUUCAGCUCUCCAGAAGGGUUCUUGGCUUACUGUAUUUAGACUGCCUAAUCCGUGUAGUAAUUGAAUGUUUGGAAGGUGUAUGUAAACCUAGAUCGUGGCCUGCAGCUGUCGCUGUUCAGCAGUCUCUGGGCCGUAGUGCUAAUGGCAUACGAUGAGUCUAAGAACUAGAAUUUACAAGUAAGUACUUCUUUCCUUCUUUAGUGGCAGUGAAUAUACAGUUUUUUUUCUUAAAUACUGCAUGGUGUGGUCCGUGGGAUGUUUUCCAAGGAAGGAAGGAAGCAGCAGCUGAUCUAACACUUGCCAGAUCAGUGGCUUGGCUUAUGUUGAUUUCAGUGAAAACCAACUCAAACUUGAACUAAGCAGUAACUGCAUUGGUUCUGGCAUAAGCAGGAAUAUUCAUAUUCUUGUUAGGUCAUUUUUUACUCAAGGAGCAUAUUCAAGAAAGCAUGACUGCUUAUAUAGCCAGCAGCUGAUUUUAAAGGAAAGGAGCUGUUCAGCAGCUGCUGGCAAGUUGUUCCUUGGCAGCACCUUGGGAUUGUUUUCUCAGUAUUUCUCAAUCCAAAAUAUUGAUCCCAGGGCAGUUUGCUGUUGAAGCGUGUAGCAUGUGUGAGUUUCUUCUCAUUCACUGAAGCUUUGCACAUACGUUGGUUGGAAUCCUAUGAUCCUUGCAAGGGUUCUGUUGUGCACAGCGGGAGGCUUCACUGGGGCUUCUGUGGUUAUUCUCUGUUUUAGGAGAGAGUGUUGGUUCAGCUGAGCACUACAAACAAAAUCUUUCAGUAAUUUAACCAAAGGCUUGUGUGUCUAGCACACAAUAAGGCGGAACUUGAGCUGUGGAUUAUAUUUAUUAGGGUUUUUUAUUGUAUAGUGUCUAGAAGAGGUGUGAAAUCCCCAUUGAGUAGCUUGUUGUCCUUUUAAAAAGAUAUAGAGAAAAAUUCUCACCUACUGCCUCUCAUGCUUUGUUUUCCAUAACCACUAAAGAAAGAGGAAAGAGAGAAGGGAGGAGUUCUGUUAUGCUUGGGGAAAAAAAUUAAAAAAAAAAAAUGGAAAAGGAAGAAUUGAUGCCUCCCACAAAGGAGCCUCACUUGGCUGCCUUCAGCACUGAUAAAUGUUUCAUGUGCUUUUUUCCACCUGAGAUCUCAUUUGUGGUCAUUCAGUCUUCUGUCUCAAAAUACAGCCGUUGCUGGUUGAACACUGAAGGACAAAGUUGAAGUUUGCUGAGGGUUAAAAUACGGGCGAGCCCUUUGCACGGACUAGCUCAGUUAUCCAUGAUUUGUGCACAUCAGUGGCGAUCUGUCUGGGAGGGGACUUUGUGCUCAGUUACUGCUCUCAGAAGAGGCUUUUUCAGACUGGCUGUGAUCUCUUGAGGGUGGGCUUAGUUCCUGUGCUCCUUGGGCAGCUUGCACCCCCUCGAUGUGACAGGUUGUCUGGGGAGCAAAGGACUGUCCCCUUAUUUGCAGGGGAGGGUGAAGCAAAUUGUUCCUGCUCCCACUGUGUUUCCAGCAUGCCAGGGAGCAGCCAGUGCUGAGGCUCGGAGGGAAGUACCACCUCCAUCUCACUCUGAAUGAGACUGAAGUCCAUCCCGGUGAGGCAGCACUGGGGCAUCCCUAUGAGCUUUAGCUCGGUUCCCUAUAGCUAUCCAAUGGCACGCUGUAAUUGUGCACUCUGUUUGCAAGGCACAAACCUACUGGCUUACCUAGCAAGCAUAACUCACAGAUCAUGGCAGCAGCCCAUCCAGACGGAAGCAGCAGCAGGUCGGGGCACUGCAGAGCUGCCAGUGUUACAUUGCCUUCCUUAUGCAUUUUUCUUUUUCUUUUUUUCCUUUGGUUUGUUGGCUUCAGUCUUGAAAUUUUGUUUGACUGUGAGAGUAGUACAUAUUGAAGCAUACAAUGAGGGAGAGAAUAUUUUUAACUUAAACUUUAGUCUAGUGAAGAAAACAUUAAUAAACAUGGACUUAUUUGGUAUAUUUUGGCUACUUACCCCUAGAAUCUGUGUUUGUUUCUUAUGUAGGUGUUGUUAGUGGUGCAACUGUGACAUUUGAGCUGUCAGCUUUCACAUCACCGCUCUCAGCAGAGUGAAAUUCACCCUGGCCAGCCUCUGCAAAGCCCACAGUGCCCUGGCCAAGGGCAGGGAAGUGAUUGCUCUGGUAGACACGCGUUCGAUACACAGUAAGUAAUGGAUGCAGAAGGGCUGCAGUUACUCCUCCACCCACACAGCUGGAGCAGUGAUCUUGUUACACGACCCAACAUCAGCUCCAUUUUAUUUAAUGCUUUAUCCUUAGCUAAAUGAUUCUGGCUUUGGAGAAAGGAAAUUGGAAGGGGGAGAAUUUUGUAUCAUGUGAACACUUCAGCGUGCUACAGGACAGUAAAUGUUGCACUUACAGUAUGUUUAAAUACUGUGAUAUUCUGAGAAUUACUGUAAAAUCAAUUGUGGGAGCCGUUUGUUUUGCUUUGUUGCACAGAUUGUACUUACCUUUUUUGCAUGGUUAUACAUUUUAGUAUUUGUGCCUUUUACUUCUCUGUUGUGAGAAUGCAUUGUAUUUUCACAUUUCAUCUGCUGUUUUGGGUACUUUUUAUAAAUGCUUUUUUUUUUUUUCAUUUGAUCUUCAUCUCAGAUUUUCAUGUAAUGUAAAUGUCUGUAUAUAUGAAAUAGAUCAGAUUUGUAUUCAUGUGCCUGAGAUGUAAAAAAUACUCAUUUUAUACAGGUUUUUUUAGAAGCACUAGGUCAUGUUCUAAAUUACUUAGCAAAUGAAAUUUAAUAUAAUUAGCAGUUCUUUGUCUUGUUUUAGAAAUGUGGUGUCAAGUGGCUGGUCUCUUUUGUAUGGCAGUAUCACACACACUCCCUGGAUCUGUUCUUCUGGUGUCACUAUGAGGCCAAUCCUGUCUGCUUGUUAGUUUCGGUGAAUUUGAACCAAUAAAGCAGCCAGCUGUACGUUAAGGUCCUGCCUCCACGACUGCAGUUUUUAUUCAUGUUAGAGAUGAUUUGCUCCCGUCUGUACUUGAAAUGGGCCUGAGACAAAAACACAUUGCCCAUUUGAGGUUUAUUUCAGUUCUGGGGUUGUUUUUGUGGAAGUGAUUUACUUUGACUAUUGAAAUUAAAAAGGAAAGAGCAGUGCCAGUCUAUAGAUCCUCCUCCUUAGGGUAAAGUGCUUUGGAUUUCUGCUUCUCUUCCCUUCCUGCCUCCUGUGGCAGCUUUUCCUAAGGAGGGACCCUGGAUCUGCACAGCUGAAAGUGCGUGUGGAGAGCGUGAAGCUAACAGGGACAGGAUUUGUUACCCAGGUGGCUAACUAUCCCUUACCCUCCUCUUGCAGAUGUGAGAGAUGGAGAGUCUUGCUUUUCACGUGUAGCCGCUGCAGAAUAAACUUCUCGUGGGGUUUGUAGCCCAGCACUCCCCUGCAGCAUCUGCCAAGCAGAAGAGAGAACAGGUGAGACUGGGCCUGCAGGGCUGCCCAGCGCCAUGCUUUCAUUGCAGUGCUGAGCCCCUCGCCUGCUCAGGUGCUUGAGUUGUUCCCUCUCGGGGCUCACAGAGCACAGCUGAGCAGUGCCUCCCAUCAGCCCGCAGGCGUGGUGAGAUCAUUAUUGUAGUGAGGGGUACGAAAGAUAGUAGCUCCUAAAAGCUCCAAAGCUUCCAUCUAUGAAAUACAAUGUUCUCAGCUGAAAUUUUUAAACUGAAUUUGGCAUCCGCUUCUCAGCCCGUGAAGCUGCCUUGAAAACCACCUCCUCGCUUCCUUUUUUACAUCAAAGGCGGCUUGGUUUGAAAUUGAGCAAAGUCCACUUGCCCCAUCGCUAUGGAAGAAAGCAGCCAGCAAAAACGGCAUACGAUUGUUUGUUGUGCAAUGUAGAAGCGAAGCGAUGGCAGUUCUGCUGCACUGUGCCAUGACAAUAUUUUCUCUGUAUUUUCUUGAACUACUUUACGGGGACAAUAAAGCUAUCUUUGCUCAUGGGAAUCCUUUCACCUAGCUGCAACGUGGCAGCACGCAUAAAUAGUUUGCUUCCCCUGCACGACGAGGGGAGGGGGCUGCUGCGAGUCCCUGUGUUUGUGCACGUUCCGUUUGAGGACGGAUCGCGGCUCCGUGUUUGCCGGGAGCUCCGCGCGGCGCUGCUCGUGCACGGCUCCUCUCCGCGGCGGCCGCGAGCUCCAGCUGCGAGCUGUUAGCGGGACUGGGGCCAGCGCUGUCACCUGACUGCAAUAAGCUAAUUGCUGACCGGUGUGCCUAACGAGCGGCCGGCACCUGCGGCGCUGUCGGGGAUCCGUGCGAGCCCCGCGGGGCUGCGUGACGCUCCUGAGCUCCGGGAGCACCGCGCUGCUCCGCCGUGCGGGCGGGAGGGGGGACCGGGACCCGGACCCGCCGCAGGACCCCGCCCGUUCUCCCCCGUGGAACGAGGACGGCGCUCCGCUGUCCGCUGGAGCAGCACGCUGAGGGGCUGUAACCGCGCGUUCCCAGCACUCGGGUUCUGCACGCCAUGGGGAGCAGCCAGCAGGUGCGUGCGGGAGGAGCUGCAGUCUGGAUACCUGCCCUGCUCAGGACGUGCUUGACAUCCAGUACCGGUGGUGACAAGACGAAGACGAGAGGCAACGUGUAUGAGGCUACUGAAAAUAGCAAAUCAAACAGUUGGUCAGGAAACCAGCUGAGGAGUGUGCCAUCCACUUAACUGGGAAGAGACGUCUCCAUUCCCUGGCUCACGCUCAUCCUUCCAUGCAUGGAGGUACAGAAGAGAUGAUGAAAGCAUUCUUGUGCACUGGGAUUCCCGUUCUCUUACGUGAGCUCGUUCUAGUCUGCAUUUUUGUGGCUGUGCUGCUCAGCUCAAUGUAGCUGUUCCUGCUGUGAUCUUCAGCGAACAUCACCGUGCUUGCUGACACCCCGCAGAAAUAGUAAGUGAUGUCCUCUGUCUGCAGGACAAAACCUUUUAAGAUAUCCCUAAUUUUUCUUGUGGCUCCAUCGUGCUGCUUCUCACUGGACUAGUCACCGCUUUGCUAUCAUAAAGUCUCCGUGGUCAUGGUCAUGUGGAGGAGCUGGAGCGCCUUGCAGUAUGUGUGGGCUUUGUCCCCUUUUCCUCACAGUUUGUCACUGGGAGGAUCUGCAGCGUUAGAUUAAUGGGAGGUGCAGGAACCAGCAGCCCCCUGUGCUCCACGGGGCUCAUAUGUGGGUUUGCAUCCGAAGCAUAUAAAGGUAUCAUUCCAAAAUGUCUCUAAGCUCAACAGCACAAAGCAGGUGAGGUGGUGCGGAGCAAUGCUUUAAGGUCAAUAUGCAGGAGGGAAGGAUGUUCUCUUUUCUCGCGGUGUUUCAGGGGACCCUUCUGACUUGACCUUACAUGACUGCAGGCCUUGCAGUACUUUCUUACAGCACUUUUUAAAAUGUGUGCAUGUGUGUGACUGUGGCUCUAUGGAGGAGGCCUUACAGCUGUAGGUUGUGCACGUGGUCCAGGUGUGCGCUGUGCACAGGUUUUCCCAGCAGUGGGGACAACACCCAGCCGUAGCGGGUGUGGAAGUGAAAAGGUCCUGGACGUUCGGGAGGGCAGAGACAGCGCAUCUACAUAGCCACUGCGAGGGAAGGAGGGGAAGGCUGAGCAUCUAGGGACGAGCAUGGGACAUACAGAGCGAGCAGCUGCGUGCGGGCACUGAUGAGGGGGUGCUGCCGGUAGCGAACCUCCGCGAGGCUGAGGGGGCCCGGCAGCGCCACGGCUCCGCUCCGGGCAGCGAGCGGCC